AAUAUUGGACAAUGGGGGCAACCCUGAUCCAGCCAUGCCGCGUGUGUGAAGAAGGUCUUCGGAUUGUAAAGCACUUUAAGUUGGGAGGAAGGGCAGUAAGCGACUACCUUGCUGUUUUGACGUUACCGACAGACUAAGCCCCGCCUAACUCUGUGCCAUCAGCCGCGGUAAUACAGAGGGUGCAAGCGUUAAUCGGAAUUACUGGGCGUAAAGCGCGCGUAGGUGGUUCGUUAAGUUGGAUGUGAAAUCCCCGGGCUCAACCUGGGAACGGCAUCCAAAACUGGCGAGCUAGAGGAGGGCAGAGGGUGGUGGAAUUUCCUGUGUAGCGGUGAAAUGCGUAGAUAUAGGAAGGAACACCAGUGGCGAAGGCGACCACCUGGGCUCAUACUGACACUGAGGUGCGAAAGCGUGGGGAGCAAACA
rnacentral:rRNA from 1 species